rnacentral:rRNA from 1 species
AGAGUUUGAUCCUGGCUCAGAUGAACGCUGGCGGCGUGCCUUAUACAUGCAAGUCGAACGCUUUGUCUUUAAUUGAUCUGACGAGCUUGCUCUGAUGUGAUUUUAUCUGACAAAGAGUGGCGAACGGGUGAGUAACACGUGGGUAACCUACCUCUUAGCAGGGGAUAACAUUUGGAAACAAGUGCUAAUACCGUAUAAUACCAACAACCGCAUGGUUGUUGGUUGAAAGGUGGUUCUGCUAUCACUAAGAGAUGGACCCGCGGUGCAUUAGCUAGUUGGUAAGGUAACGGCUUACCAAGGCAAUGAUGCAUAGCCGAGUUGAGAGACUGAUCGGCCACAAUGGGACUGAGACACGGCCCAUACUCCUACGGGAGGCAGCAGUAGGGAAUCUUCCACAAUGGGCGCAAGCCUGAUGGAGCAACGCCGCGUGUGUGAUGAAGGGUUUCGGCUCGUAAAACACUGUUAUAAGAGAAGAACGGCACUGAGAGUAACUGUUCAGUGUGUGACGGUAUCUUACCAGAAAGGAACGGCUAAAUACGUGCCAGCAGCCGCGGUAAUACGUAUGUUCCAAGCGUUAUCCGGAUUUAUUGGGCGUAAAGCGAGCGCAGACGGUUAUUUAAGUCUGAAGUGAAAGCCCUCAGCUCAACUGAGGAAUGGCUUUGGAAACUGGAUGACUUGAGUGCAGUAGAGGAAAGUGGAACUCCAUGUGUAGCGGUGAAAUGCGUAGAUAUAUGGAAGAACACCAGUGGCGAAGGCGGCUUUCUGGACUGUAACUGACGUUGAGGCUCGAAAGUGUGGGUAGCAAACAGGAUUAGAUACCCUGGUAGUCCACACCGUAAACGAUGAGUGCUAGAUGUUCGAGGGUUUCCGCCCUUGAGUGUCGCAGCU